ACCACCGAAUGGAACUGGAGUAAGAAAUUCACUGUCAGCUCUUGUGUCUGAAACAGAUUCUCAACAAGAUGUUUUAAAUGGGGUGUGUAUUGACGUCCAAUCUGAUAAUGUUCUCCCGUCGACUUCAACAAGUCAAGAAGAUGGAAUAUCACACUACCUUUUGACAAUAAAUAGUGGAAAGUUGCAAUUAGCACAUAAAUCGAAAUCGUCUACUCUGGUUAGAUCUGCUGUUUUGCCAACAACACUCACUGAAACGCCUUCAAACGAGCUGCCUCGUAAAAGGUUUACGCCAGAAGAAGUGUUACCUCAUCCGAGAGUUGCCCAAACAGGACCCAGAGUACCAAAGAAAAACAAGAACAGGGGUUCUUCUCGUGUAUUGACGAAUUCUUCAGAAAUUGCUAAGUUGAAAGAGGCACACAACACAAAAGUGUUGAAAGAAAACAAUUGUGUUUUAAGG